CACCACGUUGGUUGUAGUGAAUGCUCCUUGCAGUAAGUUGGUAUUUGAGUUAUAUUUUAGAAGUGCCUAGACAAAACGUGCUCCUUGUCGUGUGCAGUAACCAUCCCAAACCCUCCGGACUCGUGUAACGCCAUUAGUUCGCCGUGUGUUUCGUGCGAUCCACCAGUGUCGUCAGUGAGUGCCCUAGUACAGCGCCCGUCCGAGCUGCCUUUGUUCUGCCGAGCUGCCUGCCCGCGCUCUCGUGAAAAGUCUGGUACUGGGGCUUCGAAUUGUAGUGUUUGGAAGACUGUUGAAGGUUGUGCUUUUGUGGAGCUGGAGUUCAUCGGAAGUUCUACAGUGCUUGCGCCAGAGAAACGUCGGUGCCUCUGUACCUGUUAGACGGAGGAGCGUUUGCCAAGUCUUGAAAGAAAAAGAAGUUAUGUCUCCUCGAGGGCAUGGCUGCUUGUACUAAUGAACAUCUAAGGGAAGGUUUUCUCUAAUCUCUAUUUUUGAUAUCUAAAUGCUUAUGUGGCAUGUACAAACUGCUUGCAUCAAUUUCUCAUUGGGAUGAGCUGUCUAAAAUUAAAUUUUCAGUAAUAAUUGCAGUAAUUAACUCCUUUCACCUGUCUACUAAUUACUAAAGUUCUAUGCUUCUACCUUGACAAACCUUUUGUGAAAUUAGUUUGAUGAGGCCCAAUAUACAGGGCUUUCUAAAUUGAAGGUAUCAGUACCUAUUAAAGACUAUGCUAACUAUGAAAAUGCUGCUUGUGUAUGUGGUUUAUUCACUCUGUCAGACAAAAUCUUUACACCCAAGUGCAGUCAGUAAAUUGAAAACUGCAUGUCUGCAAGGGGAAGUCAGAAUUGUAUUUCAAGACAAUUGCAUCUUCUUUGAUAGUUCUCGAGCACUUGUGCGUCACUAAUCGAGCACAGCUUGGCCCAAUACUCGAUGAGGCUUGAAACUUUCAAUGUCUGCUAAUCACUAAAACAGCACCAGAUCUCACUCUGUGUCAAGGGGUGGCACACAUUUGCUUAGUUCUAGGCAGAUGCAUGUCUUUCUUUCGCAUUGAAGUUCCCAAUACUUUCUAGUCUUACGUAAAAGUACACAGCUCAGUACAAUGCAUGUAUGGUAUACGUAAGGCUGCUUUGUUCUUUAAACCGAAUCAACAAGGAGCAGCGACUUCCGUUUUUGCAAACCUUACCCUACUUCCUAACCAUUCCUUGAUCAAACGUGUAUAAAAUGAAUCUGUGGUUGUUGUAUUCUUUCACAGGUAGACAUCGGUGACGGUGUAUACGUUGAAAAGGGCCUGCUGAAGAGGCUGUGCCUGGAUGCUAACAACUUAGGCUUUCUCUUCGCCGAGGGCCUCCUUAAAGCUCUUUUUUCAAUAGAAGACUGAAGGGAGGUCCUUCUUUGGGCGGCUGUCAAAUGCCUUCCACAGGAGGAUCCAUUGGAUUCCAAGAAGGUCAACACCAUAGUAGACUACACAACGCAACAUUUCAGCCUACUUCCAGGGCAGCUGGAGAACUCGUCCUCCUUACUAGCCCGGGGAUAUUAAAUGGAUGUGUUCAAGCACAAA